rnacentral:rRNA from 1 species
CCCUUAGAUGUUCUGGGCCGCACGCGCGCUACACUGACGAUGGCAACGAGUUUUUCCUUCGCCGAAAGGUGUGGGUAAUCUUUUGAAACAUCGUCGUGCUGGGGAUAGAUCAUUGCAAUUUUUGAUCUUGAACGAGGAAUUCCUAGUAAGCGCGAGUCAUCAGCUCGCGUUGAUUACGUCCCUGCCCUUUGUAUACACCGCCCGUCGCUACUACCGAUUGAAUGGUUUAGUGAGGACUCCUGAUUGGCGCCGCCGCCCCGGCAACGGAGCAGCGGACUGCCGAAAAGUUGUUCAAACUUGAUCAUUUAGAGGAAGUAAAAGUCGUAACA